CACUUUUGGCAGGAAAGAAACGGCUCUGGCUAAUAUCUGGAGCAACUGACGGUACCUGCAGAAUAAGCACCGGCUAACUACGUGCCAGCAGCCGCGGUAAUACGUAGGGUGCAAGCGUUAAUCGGAAUUACUGGGCGUAAAGCGUGCGCAGGCGGUUCGGAAAGAAAGAUGUGAAAUCCCAGGGCUUAACCUUGGAACUGCAUUUUUAACUACCGGGCUAGAGUGUGUCAGAGGGAGGUGGAAUUCCGCGUGUAGCAGUGAAAUGCGUAGAUAUGCGGAGGAACACCGAUGGCGAAGGCAGCCUCCUGGGAUAACACUGACGCUCAUGCACGAAAGCGUGGGGAGCAAACAGGAUUAGAUACCCUGGUAGUCCACGCCCUAAACGAUGUCAACUAGCUGUUGGGGACUUCGGUCCUUGGUAGCGCAGCUAACGCGUGAAGUUGACCGCCUGGGGAGUACGGUCGCAAGAUUAAAACUCAAAGGAAUUGACGGGGACCCGCACAAGCGGUGGAUGAUGUGGAUUAAUUCGAUGCAACGCGAAAAACCUUACCUACCCUUGACAUGUCUGGAAUGCCGAAGAGAUUUGGCAGUGCUCGCAAGAGAACCGGAACACAGGUGCU
rnacentral:rRNA from 1 species